GGAAUUUUAGCUGGUUCUUUUGCUAUGCCCAUAGGUAUGAGAAAAUGGCCUAUCAUCCUUAGCUAUAGUUCAUAAAGUUCAUGGCUUCCUGUUCCUUUGAACCUUGUUUUUAAUGCUGCAAUUGCUUUUGCUUUUAGAGUUAAGUUGAUGCAGAAACUAUGUGACAACAUAGGCGUUGUCCACCCCGGCAGUCAGAGGGUGGAGGAUGCCUGCAAGGAAAGAUAACCAAGAAAAUAACAGAUAGAGAUGUUUUUCUGUAACUGUGAUAUCUUCUAGUCAGAGAAGCACUCAUACUCUGUACAUGCCUAAAUGCUUAGCUUCUUAUUGGUUGUUGCAUUUUCAGAACUGUAUUAUGAUUGGUGAGAAAGUUCUGCCAUGGUAUCUAAGGGGAACUGACUCUAUAAAUAUGUUGACAUUUCCUGAAAUUAUUGGGCAGUUUCCUCAGACUGCCACCUUGCAGCGCUGCUCGUAAUAAACCUUCUAAGGAGAGGGAAAUUGUGUCUUGAGAGUCUUUGACCACCACUCAGCGAACCACACAGGAACCCGUGGUUUCGGGUUCCGCCACAGAAAGGUUAUCAAGGUUAAGCAGACAACGGAGACAAACAUGAAAAAGAUCGUCAUUGCCUAAAAGAGUAGAUGUUACAACAAAUUACUCAUUAAUUCCGCCUGAACCACAAACUGAGCCUCCAUUCUUAGAGGCUCUUCAUGGCAACUACCCAAGGUCUCCCAGGUCAGAAGAGGGAACUACCUGUGUUUCUCCAUCCAGGUCCAGGUGAGGAGAGCCCUGCCCAACCGGGACAUUUGAAAUACCUGGGCCUAAACACCUCUGAAGAGCGAGUGGCGUAUUUCCCUCAGGUGUGAAGCGGUAGGCUGAAACCGCCAGCAGUAGGCCAAACCCCAAAGGGGAAGACACCGAAAGGUCUUUCCACCAAGAGUUGCACUUACCAUCAAGAACAAGAAGUAGGAGAAGAAGAAAGAAGCCAAAAUCAGGAUGACAGUGGACCACCGAAACCAGAAGCCUAGACCUUCAUAGGCGUACCUAAAAAUGUAACACAGCCCAAUCAUAUAAAGGAAGAGAACUACCCUAUUUCUUCGAUUCUAAGACGCACUUCCCCCCCUCCAUAUAAACAUCUCUAAAAAUGGUAGACCAAGAUGGUAGAAUUUUAGACUUCACCACUGCAAACUGCUGAAAGGUGAACCAGAGGCUGAGUGUUAGAACCAACACUGUAAAAAAUGCGCCUUCCCCCUACAAGCAAAAAUUGGAGGAAAGGACGUUAAACUUAAUCUUCCAUAUGGACCUCCGCAGACCCUUAGAAGUUGAUGUGGAUUCUGUGGUAUACUGAAUUAAUCUUAAGGCGCCUGUAACAGAACAGUCUGGGUACCCCUGUCCCCCGCCUGAUCCUUGCAUUGUGUGGUUCAGUCCCACGGGACGUGGCUCUAGUUUUGUUCCAUCUCUCUUUUGAGCCCUUAAGAUACAUUCAAUAUAUCACAGAUUGAGCCCUUUACACUGCUAAAACUGCAGGGGGUGCUCCGCAGGGCCUUCUUGGCUGUGGCACCAACCCUUUGGAAUUCCUUUCCAAGGGAAACACAGGUCAUUCAUUUCAUUUAUUGCAGCAGAGAGGAAUCUCCAGGCUGUGGACUGUUGGGAAAAUUGCAACUUCAUCUGCAAGUUACUGGAAGGGGCAGUGUGCAGUUAGUUCAUGGGAAUUUUGACCACAGCUAGCCUCAGGACCUCUAUAGCCUACAAUGUGGUUCCGUUAUUUCUUCUUUUUGCUCCUCUACUUCCUUCCUCCCCUCCUUUUUCCCCCCUCUGACAUCUGGGAGCACAUGUGUUUGCUGUCUCGCUCCUGCUGGUGUGAUAGAACACAAAAUGGACGGAACAAACUCCUUUGAAACUUUACUCUGUACCUGCAUUGUAUAUGCAAGAAUACAUGAGAGUAAAACUUUUUUCUUCUUCACUAAAGAAA